rnacentral:rRNA from 1 species
GAUGAACGCUGGCGGCGUGCCUAAUACAUGCAAGUCGAGCGAACAGACGAGGAGCUUGCUCCUCUGACGUUAGCGGCGGACGGGUGAGUAACACGUGGAUAACCUACCUCUAAGACUGGGAUAACUUCGUGAAACCGGAGCUAAUACCGGAUAAUAUAUUGAACCGCAUGGUUCAAUAGUGAAAGACGGUUUUGCUGUCACUUAUAGAUGGAUCCGCGCCGCAUUAGCUAGUUGGUAAGGUAACGGCUUACCAAGGCAACGAUGCGUAGCCGACCUGAGAGGGUGAUCGGCCACACUGGAACUGAGACACGGUCCAGACUCCUACGGGAGGCAGCAGUAGGGAAUCUUCCGCAAUGGGCGAAAGCCUGACGGAGCAACGCCGCGUGAGUGAUGAAGGUCUUCGGAUCGUAAAACUCUGUUAUUAGGGAAGAACAAAUGUGUAAGUAACUAUGCACGUCUUGACGGUACCUAAUCAGAAAGCCACGGCUAACUACGUG